AACUUAUGACCCUGUGAACCUAGUCCAACCUCUAGUAGGUUGCGCACUGGUGUGCACGGGUCAUUCUUCUGGAGAGCAUCACUGCCCUUGAUUGGGUUUGUGGUGUAAUUCAGAUCAUUUACUGUGAGUAAAUCAAAGUGUUCAAAGCAGGCUUAAAGCUUGUAUGGUUCAGCAUGGAAUAAUAAGAUAAGACUUCGGUUUUGUUUUGUUGGCUAGACGAACCAAAGUAAUGAUUGAAAGGGAUAGUUGGGGGUGCUAGUAUUCAGUGGUCAGCGGUGAAAUGCGAGGACCCAUUGAAGACUAACUUAUGCGAAAGCAUU
rnacentral:rRNA from 1 species